UGGGGUAUCGCCAAGCGGUAAGGCAACGGACUCUGACUCCGUCAUUCACAGGUUCGAAUCCUGUUACCCCAG
rfam:Mogibacterium sp. CM50 ctg120007703388, whole genome shotgun sequence.